rnacentral:misc_RNA from 1 species
GAUGAAGAACGCAGCGAAAUGCGAUAAGUAAUGUGAAUUGCAGAAUUCAGUGAAUCAUCGAGUCUUUGAACGCACAUUGCGCCCCCUGGCAUUCCGGGGGGCAUGCCUGUCCGAGCGUCAUUUCUGCCCUCCAGCCCGGCUGGGUGUUGGGCGCUGUCCCCCCGGGGACACGCCCCAAAGGCAGUGGCGGCGCCGCGUCGGGUCCUCGAGCGUAUGGGGCUUUGUCACCCGCUCGGGACGGACUCGUCGGCGCUGGUCUUCCUCCAGGCGACCCUUCGGGGCUCGUCUUCCUUCGGUUGACCUCGGAUCAGGUAGGGUUACCCGCUGAACUUAAGCAUAUCAAUAAGCGGAGGA